rnacentral:lncRNA from 1 species
ACAAGCACGCCAAAGAGGUUGGAGAGGCAGUGUUGGAGUUGUUGGGUUUAGGAUUAGGGUUGGAGAGUGGAAAGUUUAAGGACUUGGAUUUUUGUGGAACAAGAGUCUUUGUCGGACAUAUUUAUCCAUAUUGUCCCCAGCCUGAUCUCCGAGCAGCGAAGUGAAGUUAAGGCCAAGUUCUACAGGAGAGAAGAGGGACGUGGAGUCAUGUAUGCUAGUAAUAAUGAUUUGUACCGAUCCAAGGCUGCCAGCUGGCACGACUCGCUGCAGGUGUGGAUGGCUCCCGAAGCCACACCGGAGAAUGAAAUACCGGAGGCUUGCAGGAGAGAGGUGGUGCAGUGGGACAUGCACGCCAAGAAGGUUGGAGAGGCAGUGUUGGAGUUGUUGGGUUUAGGAUUAGGGUUGGAGAGUGGAAAGUUUAAGGACUUGGAUUUUUGUGGAACAAGAGUCUUUGUCGGACAUAUUUACCCAUAUUGUCCGCAGCCUGAUCUCACCAUGGGGAUUACGUCUCAUACUGAUCCAACCAUGAUUACAGUGUUGUUGCAGAAUCAGAUCCAGGGGUUGCAGGUUAAGCAUGGGGAGGAGUGGGUUGAUGUCAAGCCUUUGCAUGGAGGCUUGAUUAUCAACA